CUUUGGUCAGGCUAAAAAUGAUUCUCUGGUGUACAGUGGUACAAAUGUUUGCAUCUAUGUCUCGGUGGCAGCUGAAAACCAGUUCUGAUUCAGGACUUGGGAUGUUGAUUACCUCUGGCUUGGCACUGCAGCCCUCCCAAAACUUCCCCCUGACUAACCCAGUAAAUUUCCUGCAGAACUGAUGCUUUUCCUCAAAUUCUCCUCUCAUAAUAGUGAUGGCUUUGGACCCCCCGUGUAAAGCUGUUAUGUAACUGCUCUCACGGAGAGGAGAUCAUUUCCUGGCCCCAAAGGAGUUCUCGGAAUACUGAGAGAACAUGUUACGAGAUGGACCCCAAAAGAAGAGCAUCUGGUUGCCCUAAGUAUAAUGCUCGCAGCAGAGAAAUCACCAUAAAUAGCUUUAACAGAGACCAAAUGUGAAGAAGCACUCAUAUGGCAUGGAACGGAUAAGAUAUUUUAGUGCACUGUAAAAGGUGCACCUCACUCUAUGAGGAGGAUGGCAGAAAACACCAAUGUACCACCACUGCUGGAGGCUUUGCGUAUGUCCUGGCAUCACCAAAAUCCUCUUGCUUUGGAAAAUUAAGCUGAACUGUGAAAUUUGAUCACAGUAUCCACUGGAGGAAUCUAUUUUAACUAUCCUGAAUCCACUCUCCAGAGAAGUCCUUACUUGUCAGAUGUCUUAUGGACCAAGUUGCAAGUAUUUCAAUUUAGAUAAUGUGGCAUAAAUGGAAUAAUUAAAAAAUAAAUAGAGCCUGGCACAUGGGCAAAACUGAGACUUUUUUCUUAUUUGUCUUCCAAACUAUUCUUUUCAGAUCGGAUCAUGUGUAGACAUUUAAAUCAGAAAUAGCUUGAGUGUUUCCCCUGCUGCAGUCCUACCAUUCUUAUAAUGAAAGAGCUAACUGCCAUCUUCACCAGCACAUUACAGCAUGCAAACAAUCCAAGCCUUACUACAGAUGAUUGAUUGAGCCACUAAAGGCAUCAAAAUCCUCUAAUUGAGCUGUCUGAACAAUAUCAAACGCCCACAGAGAUGUGGUGGGAAAAGAAUU